rnacentral:rRNA from 1 species
CCCUUAGAUGUUCUGGGCUGCACGCGUGCUACACUGAUUAUUUCAACAAGUGUUUUAACUGGAGAGUUCGCGUAAUCCUGAAAUGUUAUCGUGAUGGGAGUAGAGUAUUGUAUUUGUUAAUCUUUAACGAGGAAUUCCUAGCAAGUGUAGGUUUAUAAGUUGUUCUGAUUACGUCCCUGCCCUUUGUACACACCGCCCGUCGCUCCUACCGAUUGAUUGAUCCGGUGAAUUACAUAGAAUUUUGCGUUUUACAUGACGGAAGACGAAGUGUUUUAAACCUGAUCAUUUAGAGGAAGGAGAAGUCGUAACA